UCCAGCUCCAAUAGCGUAUAUUAAAGUUGUUGCAGUUAAAAAGCUCGUAGUUGAACCUUUGGCCUGGCUGGCAGGUCCGCCUCACCGCGUGCACUUGUCCGGCCGGGCCUUUCUUCUGGAGAACCGCAUGCCCUUCACUGGGUGUGUGGGGACCAGGACUUUUACUUUGAAAAAAUUAGAGUGUUCAAAGCAGGCUUUGCUCGAAUACGUUAGCAUGGAAUAAUAGAAUAGGACGUGCGGUCCUAUUUUGUUGGUUUCUAGGACCGCCGUAAUGAUUAAUAGGGACAGUCGGGGGCAUCAGUAUUCAAUUGUCAGAGGUGAAAUUCUUGGAUUUAUUGAAGACUAACUACUGCGAAAGCAUUUGCCAAGGAUGUUUUCAUUAAUCAGGAACGAAAGUUAGGGGAUCGAAGACGAUCAGAUACCGUCGUAGUCUUAACCAUAAACUAUGCCGACUAGGGAUCGGGCGGUGUUCUAUUGGACCCGCUCGGC
rnacentral:rRNA from 1 species